AUGGGGAGAGGGCAGCUGGAAACUGGGGGGCUCGAGAUGGGAUUGGGGUGGGUGGCUGGGGGGGGUGUAAGCGAGAAGGGUCUCGGGGGGGUUGCAAGGAUGGGGAGAUGGGGGGGGGAUUGCAAAUCGUGGGGGUUUGGGGAGCUCACAGCAGGGCAGGAGGUGAGGGCUGGGCAUUGGGCUGGCAAUGUGGGGACGCCCAGAUGUGGGACAUUGCAACGAGGGGGACACCGGGGCACGGGGUUUGCAGUGGGGGAGCCUGUGCCAUGCCCGGGGGGGUCCCAGCCCCCCCCCUCACCCACCUGCUGCUGCUCGUGGCGCCCGCUGGCCUCGUGCCGCUGCCGCUCCAGCUCGGCCGUGGCCUCGGCCAGGCUCUGCUGCAGCCCCGCCAGCGUCCCCGCCAGCGCCGCCUUCUCCUCCUCCUGCAGCGCCAGCGCCUGCACGGGGACNNNNNNNNNNUGCACGGGGACACGCUCAGACAGGGCUGGGGGACACCGGGGACGCGGUUUGGGGGGAGGCCCCGACACCCACCUGCUGCUUCUCGCUCUCGGCACGCAGCAGCCCCUCGUCGCGCUGCGUCCGCGCCGCCGCCAGCUCGGCCACCAGCUCCUCCUGCUCCCGCACCAACCGGCCCCGCUCCGCAUCCAGCUCCCGCUGCGCCCCAAAAGUGGCACCGGUCCCCCAAAAUCAGCACCGAGCCAAAAUCGGCAUCAGCCCGAAAUUUGGCAAACUCCCACUCCUCCCCCCAAAACGGCAUUGCUUCGGAAAUAUUGUUCCAAAUUCUGUAUUGCCCUCCAAAAUCAGCACUGCUCUCCAAAUUCAGUAUCGCUCUACCCCAAAUCUGUAUCACCACCCCCAAAAUCAGCAUGGCCCCCCCCUCCCACAAAUCAGCAUCUCCCCGGAGCCCACCGGUGCCCACCUUCUCGCCCCGAAGCCGCUCGAGCUCGUCCUCGCGUGCCACCUGGGUCCCGCGCAGGGUCACCGCCUCCUGCUCUGCCGCUGCCAGCCGCUGCCGCAUGGCGCCCAGCUCCUCUGCCGGGGCCAAAAUCGGGCGGGUGGGUGGUGGGAACGAGGGCUCCAAACCCCCAAAAACUGAUCUAA
rnacentral:lncRNA from 1 species